GAUGAACGCUGGCGGCGUGCCUAAUACAUGCAAGUCGAGCGAACAGACGAGGAGCUUGCUCCUCUGACGUUAGCGGCGGACGGGUGAGUAACACGUGGAUAACCUACCUAUAAGACUGGGAUAACUUCGGGAAACCGGAGCUAAUACCGGAUAAUAUAUUGAACCGCAUGGGUCAAUAGUGAAAGACGGUUUUGCUGUCACGUAUAGAUGGAUCCGCGCCGCAUUAGCUAGUUGGUAAGGUAACGGCUUACCAAGGCAACGAUGCGUAGCCGACCUGAGAGGGUGGUCGGCCACACUGGAACUGAGACACGGUCCAGACUCCUACGGGAGGCAGCAGUAGGGAAUCUUCCGCAAUGGGCGAAAGCUUGACGGAGCAACGCCGCGUGAGUGAUGACGGUCUUCGGAUCGUAAAACUCUGUUAUUAGGGAAGAACAAAUGUGUAAGUAACUAUGCACGUCUUGACGGUACCUAAUCAGAAAGCCACGGCUAACUACGUG
rnacentral:rRNA from 1 species